rnacentral:lncRNA from 1 species
GUGCAGUGCAGAUUAUCAAGAAGUGAGCAGGUUCUGAUUAUACUUCUAUGUAGAGCUUCAUAAUUCACCAUUAUUUUAACGGCCUCCUGUGAACUUGAUAAUGUCUCCAGGAAAGGAACAGAAUAUGCUGUUAUUCCCACUUAACGGAAGACCACAACAGGACUGAGCUGGUCUCAGCGAACAGGUUGUUAAAAAAAAAAAAAAAAAAAAAAAAAAAAAACACGUUUGAUACACAGUUACAUCAUGUUGCAAUGACUCAGCUACUAUCAGCUUGGCGGCAGAAGAGCAGACAAGAGGUCCGGAGUUCCAUGUCAGGGGUCCUGCUGUAAGCUUGAACGAACACCUGUCUUCUAUCAUUCAGUUAUCCAACAUUUAAUGAAUGCUGAAAAUACACCAGACCCAGACUCAGGUGGUGUGAUUCUGCUGUCUUCCUAUCCCCCAUGGAUUGGAAGAUACGACUGUUUUUCUAAUCCCAAAAGAUUGCUUCCCCUGGAGAGAAAAAUUCCUCCAAUGCCAGGACCAGAUUUUACCAGCACCUGUAACCCAGCACUAAGAUUACUGCCUGGAAUACAACAAAUCCUCAAUAUGUUUCCUGGCAGUGAUUCAGCUGGAGGAAUCACCUUAACUAUAAAGUCAUUUCCUUGAUUAGCCAAUCAUAUAUAUAUUGAAUACUUACUAUGAGCCAGCCUCUUUUCUAGGCACUAAAAAUACACAAAGAUGAAUGAGGAAUGACCCACAGAGCUCACAGUCCCAUGGGUCUGAGUUAUAUGAAGAAGGUUAUAUAAAGUUAAAUGGGUUGCUGUUAUGGCUGGCUUCAUAUAAAAAUCCAAGCAGAAACUUUCUAAUUCAUCGGUUCAUCCAGCUAGGCAUUCAUUAACAAUUCAGCCAGUAGUACUGACUACCACGUGACUGGGAGCUCACACAGAUGAAGAAAAUAUGUUGCUUUUACUGGAGAAGUUCACCAUCAUAAUCACAGGGAAGUACAGUGUGCAAUACAGUAGGUACUAAUAAAUGUGUUCAUAAACAUCAGUGGGCAUCGAGAAUAGGAAACAGGCUAUAACAGGAGUCAACAAGAGACUUGGAGAGACAAACACAGAUUUCUAAACAAAACAUAAUUUUCAAAAGAAGCAUUGAGCCUUUUCUUUUUCAAGGUAUAGAAUUCUUAACUUUAGGAAGAAAAAAGAAAAAAAAAGUGGUGCUACUUCUGGUUGAAGCGUAUGGGAGUUUUGGGGAAGCGACAAGCCAGAAUCUCCCGCUUGGCAUCCCCUGGGUCCCUAUGUAUUUCCAAGAUCCCUGUGCUCAGUGAGGGGUUUCACGAUGUGAAAAUCACUACUCUCCUGGAACAAACAUUAGAGGAGAUGCUUCUUGGGUUCUUUCCCAAGUCCUGUGGAUAACUUGCUAGUAAAAACCCAAACAUUGCUUGACCAACCUAUGCUUUAGUGUACUCGACAGGAAGAGGAGGAGGCAGAUAGACCCAUGCUGGCUUAACUCCCAGCAAUCCUGGGAGGAUAAAUUAGGCACCACCUGCUAAGUUCCUUGAGCAUCCAAGAAGAAAAGAAGGGAGUGGUGGGGGUGGGGAGCUACCUAAGGCCUUAUGAACAGCGAGGCUUUGGCAAUCCCCAAGUAGAGGCAUCCUGAGUGAAACACACUGUCCCAAUUACCAGAGGCAAAGGUUCUCCUCUGGAAUACAGGUUUACAUUGUGAGAUGUUGUUUAAACAUUUUGGUUCAAGGCAGAGCAUUUUCAGAUAAGAGGGAUGAUUUCAGAGUCAAGAAUAUAGUAAUUUAUUUGGAGGCAGAAAGAAAGAGUUGGAAAAAAUGCCUUUUAAAAGAUCAGCUUAUCCCCAGGGAUGUACACUCAGUCCUUUCCCAAGCUGAGGAAGGCAAUUUAAUCGUUCAUAACUUUACUGACUUGAUGAGGCAAACCAGCUUUGCCAAAGACAAUGCUUUCAUGGGCCUGAGGAGAUUAGCAUUACUACGAGUGAGCUCUGUCUUUUUACCCCAAACCUUUCUUUUCACUUGGGUGACAUCCUGCCCCAUGUAAUAAGACUCUCCUGCUUCUCUCUGCUUGGGACAUAUUCCAUUCAGCAAUAUCAUCCUCCCUGCUGGCUGGCUUGGGACUUAUGGUAUCAUUUUGGCAGCGUGACAUUUAAAGUCACUAAAAAUAAAAAUAAAAAUUAAUAACGAAAAUUAUACAAUUGUCUCUGGGCACAGUUUAUUGGUUCACACAAAUAUAUCUUUUCUUGGAAACCUCAAUUUUAGCUUUUAAUUCUCUUAAAGGGAUCUUCAGAAAAAUUUGGAAGUGUACAGAAUUAUCAAAAGAGGUAUCUCUUCAAACCAAGAUCAUUGAAUAUACUAAUAGUUCUUGACCCUCCAUCUCCACUCUCUCUGCUCCAUUUUCCUAGCUCAGGGGUCCAUAUGGCACUAAUCAGUCACUGCACUUGCUUUGUAAAUAAAGCUUUAUUGCAACACAGCUAUUCUUAUUUGUCUAUAUAUUGGCUAUGGCUGCUUUCAACACUACAAUGGCAGAGUUGAGUAGUUGCAACAGAGACCACCAACAGAGACUGCCUGGUCCUCAAAAUCUAAAAUAUUUACUAUCUGGCAAUUUGUUAAACCCUUAAUCUAAAUACCUCCUGAUGUCUCAAUGUAGAUGCCUUGUAGCCAACGUAAACUCCACCUAUUCUCAGUUUAAGUCACUACGUUUCUUUCAGAUAUGUGCUGUCCCAGAGUUCACUAUAUGAGAUGUCAUUACCAUCAGCCCAGUUCAUAUAUCAAAAUAUUGGUUCAUUCUUGCUCCCUUUCCUUUCCCUCACCUUCAAUAAAAUCAACCACUAAGUCUUGACCAAGCCAGUCCCCAACGUGAAGCUAAAACAAUCUUUCCAAAACAUAAAAUGUUUGUGUCACUUCCCAGCUUAAUAGAUUUUAAUGAAUUUCCAUUCUUAUUACCCAUAAAGACAUUUCAGUCUCUUCAACAUGUCUUAUUGAAAGCCAGGGAUCAUUUGGCUCUCACCUAUGUCUGCAUUUGGCUCUCACCAG